rnacentral:tRNA from 1 species
GGAAGGUUGUCCGAGCUGGCCGAAGGAGCACGCCUGGAAAGUGUGUAGUCGUCACAAGCGUCUCAAGGGUUCGAAUCCCUUACCUUCCG